UCAUUUGUAAAACCUCCCCUAGAACAGUUAAUUCCCAGGAACACCUGGAAGGGUUCUCCACAUGGCUGAAAUUGAAACCCAUGGCAUAAACAGUGAUGGAAACAUUCGUGUGACCCUCCCUUGAGUAGCAAAAUUGCUGAGCAUAGCAUAUCCCUGAAGCACAUGGGGCCUCUCUUAUUUUAAACUGUAACCAUGAAAUAGGAAAAAAGCCCAGUGAACCAAAAGCUUCUGCCUUUUUAUUUUUGUUCUUAACAUGUAGAAAUAGAAGCACCUGCUGCCUGCUGGGCUCAUUAAAUGUCUUUUUAUUUUCAUAAAUCACCAGGUAGAAUUUGAAUUAUUUACUCGGUAAACUCGAGGCUACAUUAAUUUCCAUUCUCCAAUUUUUUGUAACCAAUUUUUUGCACAUUAGCUUUGGAGCUGUUUCCCACCCACCUUUUGUUCAGUGCCCACCUUGGCUUCCCAAGCAGGGUCCCUCCCCUUGGUGACUGCAGGGGUUUCGUGAACUUCAAAAGCAGCCUGAAAUGUCAGCCACACGCAGCCUUUCUGCAGCCGCUAAAUUAUGGAUCAGAAUACAGCAGAUCAAACAGUUCAGAAUUAUUCACUUGUGGGUCUUUGCUUGGUAAAGCAAUAAAAAUCUCUGCAUUUCUUCUUUGGUAAUAUGUGGGGUGGUUGUUUUACAUGCUCGAGAGUAAUGUUAUCAGGGGUAUGGGGGUGUGUAUGUAAUUUUUUUUUUUUUAAGCGAGGCACUUCAAUCAAAGCUUCAUUCUACUGUAAACCCAAUUAGCUUCAGUCUGCCAAGUCAGCUUGACUGUCUGCAAGAAUGUAUGUAAGGCUAUGAAUAAUUGCUAAAGUCAAGUUUUCUUUCUAUCUAAGAAAUGCCAUGAGGCUUUUGUUACCACUAGAUAAACCCUCUGCACUUGUCUCUGAGGUUCCAGCUGACGACACCCGUUCAAAAAUCAUAAAUGUGUUUGAAUAGUAUUCUGUGUGUCAAGAGGCUCAGUAAAAAGCAAGUGCUUGCUUUGCUUUGGAGCAGAAGGUUGCUGAACCCAGAUCCAGGGCUCCUCCAAACACUCGGAUUUUGCCAUUAGCUUUAGUGGGAGGAGGACUGAGAAUUUACAUAGCUUUAUUGCAUGUGGCUGCAGAAUAAGCCCAUUACUGUAGGAAAACAGUAGCAGGGCUGUCCCCUGUGUUAUACAAGAGGAAAGGUUGGAAAAUUAAACGCUCCAACAAUACGUGUGGAAAAUGGGUCACCUACUUUGUGCGAGGAAGCGCACAGGAUGCUCUCGCUGUAUUUUAAUAUGCCGCAUGCUGGUUUCUAGCAGUUUGGACGUGGUUGCACAGCCGGGUCGGUAUCAUGUGAGACUAUCGGGCUGUGCUGGUGUAUGGGGUGCUGGUUAAUCGACACCCCUGGCUGGGGGGGACAGCCAGCGGGCUGGGUGGUUAGGGAUGAUAUCGGAGGUGUCUAUGGGACUCGGCUGCUCAACCCACCCAAACCCACGUGGAGAGGGAGCUGUUGGCAUCACCUGCUGUGAAUUGCUUCCAGGGUUCCUCCCCAUCGCUAAGGUAUGUGCUGUGGAUCCUCUUGCUUUUGGCCAGCUGGUGAAUAGAGGAUGUAUUUCCUAAGAUAAGAAGGGUUGGCCAUGUUGAUAUAUUCAGUUCGUUUAAAGAGAACAUGGCUUCCCCAUCUGCAAUGGGUUCCCCCUUAAAUAUUUACUUGCCUUUCCACUGUGCAUGCAUAAUAUCCCUAUUUUUCCCUCUCCAUCUAUAGGCCACCUAAAAAGUUGUCAGAUGGUGGCAAGUCAUCCAUCUAACUUGAGUUGAGGGUCCCCUUCUCAUUUUUGAAAUUGGACCGUGAUUUCUGUUCACGUCCCUCAAGGAUGGUCAUAUUCCAAUGACAUCUUGAAGACUCUCCAACUGUUUUCUUUCCAAAAAAAUUAUCGUUUAAUUUAUUUUCCUUCAAGUCUAAGGUUCAGAAAGUGAUAUAAUACUCCAUGUGAUGGCCAUUGGUGGUGAGCUGUGUGACAAGAUGUCGAUGCUUCAGGGAAAAGGUUGCAAGAUUUGAAGAUGUUCAGAUUUGUAUUACUUAAGUGUUAACUGAUGUGUAUUUACACUGACACACACAUACAGGCAGCAUUUUUUUCCAGAUAUGGCAUUAUAUAAAGCAUCACAACAUUAUUCCAUUUGUCUUUUGUGAUGUCUGCCAAAAGUGAUAUGCUUGCACUAAGACUGAAAAACUUAGAUAUGAAAAUAUUUCCAAUUUUACAGGGGAAGAUACGAUUUUGACUAAUUUUGUUACAGCAGGUACGUAAGUGGAUGCCUGUCUUGACAACUAUGAACUAAGUUGCACAAAGUAGGAGUGACAGUGUGAUUCCCAGCAGCAGAAGUCAGUGCCACACUGGUUUGUCACAGCUCCAGCUUCCCUUUUCCUACAUGAAUAACGGUGGUGUCUGUUAUCCCCCGUACACAGUGAUCUGUCAACAACUACUUUCUCAAUUACUUCUAGUGUGUAUGUGGGGGUGGCACGCAGGAGCAGGUGAUACCUGAUAAUAGUACAUUAUCAAGAGGUGAAGGUUUCAUUUUCUUCAAAUAGAAACCAUGUCUGAAUAGCUGCAAGACUCCCAGACACUGUGAAAUCUAGAGGGAAAUUUUAGUCUUAGCUCUUUCUGUGCGAUUAUCUAAAAAACACACACACGUCCCUUUUCUUUUGAAAAAUGUAUUGACAGACCGAUGACUACUGCUCCUAUAUCUGGGUGUGAACAACAAUAUAGAGCCCAAGAAGGCUGGGUGGUCCUCUAGUGGCUCUUCCAAGCAGCGUAAAGCACCAUGUAAUAUAUAGGAAUAGGGGGGCAGCCCUCAAAAAUAGCCGUGAGAGGAGUUUCAGUCGAUGGAGGACUGGUCCCAGGCAGCUCUUGCUCAGUAGUUGUUUGUUGCUGCUAGGGAAUUAAAACCACAGGUUAAUGUGAUGAGCAGUAAUUCAACAUCAUGAUUCAGUUGGAUCCUGCCAGUACUUGAGGACAUGACCACAGCAAUGUUUGCGCUGUCAGUCCUUGGAUCCUCACUUCUUGCCAGGCAGACCUCAUCACUUCGUUUUUGCCUGGAGGCUCUUCAGAGCACCCGCUGUUCAUCUUGGUCCUUGGUUCUGGUGGCAUCCAAAUUUCUGUACUCCAACUCUGAUCUUCCUGGAUUUCUGACUUGGAAAAUACCUUUGCAGUGCAGUACCUGCUCAGAAGUUUCUACCAGCAGGAGACUUUCAAUCGGCAUUCAGUGGUACAGCUCAGGGUGGUCUGUGACUAAGCUGGAAAUGCUUGAAGGAAUAUUGGGUGGGUAAGUAGGGAUGACUACUCUGCAUUUUUACUUGCAUGGGGUCUAGCUGAGAUUUAGCUAUGUUUUCUGUCUCCCGUGAGCAAGAGCAAAGGGAGAUGAAAGAGCAAGAAAGGAAGACAGUGAUAAGUCUAAAGUUAACAGCAUUACUGACCGGGAGAUGGAAGCAGACCCCGAGUUUAGCAGGGUAAGCAGCACGCUCUUCCUCCUUCACCUGGGACCGAUUCCCUUGUGCUGCAUCACCUGGGAGAUCCCAACGGUAUAAACACAUCAGGACUUCAGAGUAGAAAGACGGGGAAGAAAAGUUUAAACUGGGCAUGUUGUGCUCCCUAUACUUGGACAAAUCAUAAUGAGACAUGGCCCUACCAUCACAGAACAAGCAGUCCAUGGCCAAGUGCCUCGCUUUUUAACGUUGUCACUAGUUGAAGUUGCUUUGAAGACAUCUCCUUAAAAAAGCAUCUCAUCCCAUUCAUACCCACUGA